rnacentral:rRNA from 1 species
GACGAACGCUGGCGGCGUGCUUAACACAUGCAAGUCGAACGGAAAGGCCCGCUUGCGGGUACUCGAGUGGCGAACGGGUGAGUAACACGUGGGCAACCUGCCCUCAGCUCUGGAAUAACUCCGGGAAACCGGUGCUAAUACUGGAUACGACUGCGCAUCGCAUGGUGUGUGGUGGAAAGUUUUUCGGCUGAGGAUGGGCCCGCGGCCUAUCAGCUUGUUGGUGGGGUAAUGGCCUACCAAGGCGACGACGGGUAGCCGGCCUGAGAGGGCGACCGGCCACACUGGGACUGAGACACGGCCCAGACUCCUACGGGAGGCAGCAGGGGGGAAUAUUGCGCAAUGGGCGAAAGCCUGACGCAGCGACGCCGCGUGAGGGAUGACGGCCUUCGGGUUGUAAACCUCUUUCAGCUCUGACGAAGCGAAAGUGACGGUAGGAGCAGAAGAAGCACCGGCCAACUACGUGCCAGCAGCCGCCGUAA